GACAGAGGGUGCAACCGUUGUUCGAAAUUACUGGGCGUAAAGCGCGUGUAGGCUGCUUCGCAAGUCGGGUGUGAAAGCCCUGGGCUCAACCUAGGAAGUGCACUCGAAACUGCGAAGCUUGAGUCCUGGAGAGGAAGGCGGAAUUCUCGGUGUAGAGGUGAAAUUCGUAGAUAUCGAGAGGAACACCGGUGGCGAAGGCGGCCUUCUGGACAGUGACUGAUGCUGAGACGCGAAAGCGUGGGGAGCAAACAGG
rnacentral:rRNA from 1 species